rnacentral:lncRNA from 10 species
CUGCCGGAGGAUGCGCUCCGCCGGCGGGCACCCUGCGGGGACCACAGCCGGACGCCAGAAGUGACCUGACCGUGAAUGUGCGCUUUGCGUGCAGUCAUUGCAUCGUCGCAGGCCUAGGAGACAGAUGAAGAGAUGGGUGCUUAUUUUAUAUAGGGGACACAGUGUGCCCAAGAGCACAAGAUAAACGGCCGGGUGGGGAUUCAAACCCAUGUUCCCUGACUCAAGGUUUUAGGGUACUAGGCCAGGACCCACCCUGGGAAGGCUGCUGAACGCCCUGAAGUGGUAUUCCCGCAGGCAGAGGAGGGAACCGAGGGGGUGCAGGAGGAGGGUAAAGGGUUCGAACUGGUACCGAUUUUUAUUUACAGCUCUUAAGGAAAUUCUCGGUUAUACUGAAAAAUCCAGAAGCUCUGAAGAUACCAGUCAAAUAAAAUCACACCCUAUAACUCUACACCAGACUUGUGGCAUGGUUUCUGUAGCUGCCAGCGGUAAAACCAAGAGAAACUUUACAAAAACCUUUUGUGCAUCUGAAAAGGAGGAAGUGUGAGAGACACUGGAAAUUCAAUAUGUCAGACAAAGCCGUCUCCUGACACUGCAGGACAGUAGACCAGUCAAACAAUCUUUUUAAAGCCCCCAUGUAAGAAGUUGCUAUAUGAGGUGGCAGCUUGGGUCAGACAUUAUGUAUGGCCUUUGGUAUUUUAGUAGCACUGCAUGUAAAAUUUAACUUUCUAAAAUCGCUGUAUUCGUGGAUAGCUUUUAUCAUUGCACUAGACAACAAGUUACAAUUUAAAAAUUGUAUCUGUUUCUUUU